CGUGCUCCAUGCAUCGAACUGUCUAAUCGCGAUCUCCUCAGUCGUCUUUGCCCGUAUGUGGGUAUUAUGCCAUAUGGGCAAGAGAUCGUGUUCCUGUGUUGCAUACCGGUGGGAUAGGAAAUCAAUGCUUCGUUGUGGGAUUUUCAUCCGACCUCUCUUCGGGGGUUGCGAUGAACGCCGUAGCGCCUCCUGUGUUCCUGACAUGUCGAUCGCUCGAAUGUCAUGGCGCAUGGGCAGGUUGCUCGUGCUUUCGGAUGCGGAAAGUCGGUUUCGGUCGAGGGGAUCACACCCCUCAGUUGCCUUAUUUAACGUUCGCGUUAUCAACAAACGAACGACUUGCGAUGCUUGCCCCCGGGCCUUGGCAAUGCCAGGAUCGGGGCGGGCAUCGAGGUCGCGAAGGAAUGC
rnacentral:misc_RNA from 1 species